rnacentral:rRNA from 1 species
GAGUUUGAUCUUGGCUCAGAACGAACGCUGGCGGCAUGCCUAACACAUGCAAGUCGAACGAGACCUUCGGGUCUAGUGGCGCACGGGUGCGUAACGCGUGGGAAUCUGCCCUUGGGUUCGGAAUAACAGUGAGAAAUUACUGCUAAUACCGGAUGAUGUCUUCGGACCAAAGAUUUAUCGCCCAGGGAUGAGCCCGCGUAGGAUUAGCUAGUUGGUGGGGUAAUGGCCUACCAAGGCGACGAUCCUUAGCUGGUCUGAGAGGAUGAUCAGCCACACUGGGACUGAGACACGGCCCAGACUCCUACGGGAGGCAGCAGUGGGGAAUAUUGGACAAUGGGCGAAAGCCUGAUCCAGCAAUGCCGCGUGAGUGAUGAGGCCUUAGGGUUGUAAAGCUCUUUACCUAGGGAUGAUAAUGACAGUACCUGGAGAUAAGCUCCGGCUAACUCCGUGCCAGCAGCCGCCGUAAC